rnacentral:rRNA from 1 species
UACAGAGGGUGCGAGCGUUAAUCGGAAUUACUGGGCGUAAAGCGCACGUAGUCGGCUUUGCAAGCCGGUUGUGAAAUCCCCGGGCUCAACCUGGGAACUGCAUCCGGGACUGCAUUGCUAGAGUAUGGGAGAGGGAAGCGGAAUUUCUGGUGUAGCAGUGAAGUGCGUAGAUAUCGGGAGGAACACCAGUGGCGAAGGCGGCCUUCUGGACCAGUACUGACGCUCAUGCACGAAAGCGUGGGGAGCAAACAGG